rnacentral:rRNA from 1 species
UGGGGAAUAUUGCACAAUGGGGGAAACCCUGAUGCAGCGACGCCGCGUGAAGGAAGAAGUAUUUCGGUAUGUAAACUUCUAUCAGCAGGGAAGAAAAAUGACGGUACCUGACUAAGAAGCCCCGGCUAACUACGUGCC